AAAGGUUUCUACAAAGUUUUACAGUUGUUUAAAAAAAGUGUUUUUUAACAACUGUACAACUGGUAUUCACCUACCUAAGUACUAGGCCACCUCAGACAAAGAAGUUAUUAUUUUUUUAUGUUUAGUACAGGUCAUCAGUUUAUAAUUGUUUUUAAAUGUCUCUAAUGAUUCUAUAUAUUGUUAUUGUUAAAUUUGGAAAUAUAGUAAUUUGAUUGAUUUGAUUAUGUUUAGCUGAUAUAUUUUUAAACCAUUGAGUCUAAUCAACACAGUCGCCACUGUAUUGGAAUUAUCUGUUCUCCCUGAGGAUAUUCAACAUGCUUUAUUUAAGGGUCAUUUGUAUUAGCUACAGAAGAGGACCUUGUCAAAUUAGGAUUUAGGAUGGCAGAAAGAAGGUUACUGCAGGAAUGGAUUAGGGCUCAACCGGUUGUUAAUGUUCCAGCUGGUAUGUUACUAAUAUGUUACCCCACAGUCUUUAUUGAGUAUUGAAUCUGCGAGUUGAUAAUAUUAUAUCAGAGCAGAGGCAGCAGCAUGGACCUAUUUGUGGUCAACGAUUGACACAAAAGUUAAAGUCAGGAGAGCGGAUUGAAAAAGCAGAAAUGUUAUUUCUAACAAAAGUUUGUGAGCGUUACCUGAUGAACAAUUGUGCUUAAAAAGAUAGGCCAAAUGCUACUGAGAAGCAGGACUUAUCAAAGUCAAUUAUUGACUGUUUUCCUAUCUUACACGAUGGAACAGCAAGUGGUUAUGGAUACUUCUUUGAUAGAAAAUCAUUUAGUGGAAAGUUGGAAUACUUUGUUCGAAGCCGGCGUUCAGAUUGUAAAGAUAUAACUACAUUGUGGAAACAUUCACCAUAAAAUAGAUUCUUAAAGAAUUCCAAAGUUGCAAUUUUAUAGAAACACGAUUGUAUGUUGAGUGGCAGAAAUACAAAUUUAAAAUUCUGGAGUAUGCCAAAUUGAAGCCCUCAUUGAAUACUCUAAUGUUUUCCUUAACGAACGAGUUAGAUGAAGACAAGAAAAGUGAACUUGCGGUUGAAUGUUUUGUUUGGCCUCUCCCUACCCCACCACAAAAAUCAGUUAAAAGGGCUCGUUCGCUACCGAAUGUGGUUAUGCAAAAUCUUUUCUUUGACUUCAAGGAUGACACAGUUGACUGUGCACUAAAGACACUGGAGGAUCGCGGGGUUAAACAACCGAUGCUGUUGCGCAUAUCUGAUGGAUAUUAUAUAAAGGUUGACAACACAGUUAUAACACUGCCUUGUUGCAGCUGCUUUAUGGAGGCAUUGGAGUUUUUAUUUAUGUCUUUUAAUGUUUUCGCCGUGGAAUAUCCAACUGAAUUAAGAUUUUUUUAUGGAUUUUUGGAGAAAGUCAUGGGACUUAAAUGUACUGUGAAAAGUUCAACCGUUGCUGAUUUGUUUACAAACAUAACUUUUCUUACAAAUGUAUAAAUCUCUUUAAAUCCCAGAUGAGUUUAAAUAUGCAUUAUUCGUUUU
rnacentral:lncRNA from 1 species